rnacentral:rRNA from 1 species
UACGUAGGGCGCAAGCGUUGUCCGGAAUUAUUGGGCGUAAAGAGCUCGUAGGCGGUCUGUCGCGUCUGUUGUGAAAACUCGAGGCUCAACCUCGGGCUUGCAGUGGAUACGGGCAGACUAGAGUGCGGUAGGGGAGACUGGAAUUCCUGGUGUAGCGGUGGAAUGCGCAGAUAUCAGGAGGAACACCGAUGGCGAAGGCGGGUCUCUGGGCCGUAACUGACGCUGAGGAGCGAAAGCGUGGGGAGCGAACAGG